rnacentral:rRNA from 1 species
UACAGAGGUCUCAAGCGUUGUUCGGAUUCAUUGGGCGUAAAGGGUGCGUAGGUGGCGCGGUAAGUCGGGUGUGAAAUCUCGGAGCUUAACUCCGAAAUGCAUUCGAUACUGCCGUGCUCGAGGACUGGAGAGGAGACUGGAAUUAGGUGUAGCGGUGAAAUGCGUAGAGAUCAUAGGAAGACCGUGGCGAAGGCGGGUCUCUGGACAGUUCCUGACGCUGAGGCACGAAGGCCAGGGGAGCAAACGGG